UACGAAGGGGGCUAGCGUUGCUCGGAAUCACUGGGCGUAAAGGGCGCGUAGGCGGCCAUUCAAGUCGGGGGUGAAAGCCUGUGGCUCAACCACAGAAUUGCCUUCGAUACUGUUUGGCUUGAGUUUGGUAGAGGUUGGUGGAACUGCGAGUGUAGAGGUGAAAUUCGUAGAUAUUCGCAAGAACACCAGUGGCGAAGGCGGCCAGCUGGACCAAUACUGACGCUGAGGCGCGAAAGCGUGGGGAGCAAACAGG
rnacentral:rRNA from 1 species